rnacentral:rRNA from 1 species
GUGGUCCUACGGGAGGCAGCAGUGAGGAAUAUUGGUCAAUGGGCGGGAGCCUGAACCAGCCAAGUCGCGUGAGGGAAGACGGUCCUAUGGAUUGUAAACCUCUUUAUGCGGGGAGCAAUGCCGGUCACGUGUGCCCGGAGGGAGAGUACCCGCAGAAUAAGCAUCGGCUAACUCCGUGCCAGCAGCCGCGGUAAUACGGAGGAUGCGAGCGUUAUCCGGCUUUAUUGGGUUUAAAGGGUGCGUAGGCGGAUUUUUAAGUCAGCGGUAAAAUGUCCGGGCUCAA